rnacentral:rRNA from 1 species
AUGGUUUGUUUCAACUGUGGCGGUCCGGGUCAUUACGUAGGCAACUGUAUUCAGAAGAAGAUUUGUUUCACCUGCGGACUGGAAGGCCACAAUGUGAACAAUUGCGCUGCCUGGGCUCAACCACAUCCGGUUGCCACUUUCUUUGGAAGCUCUGCUCUCGGAUUGGGGUUUUAUCAUAUCGACGCUCCUGUGGGACGGGAGGCAAAUUGGCUCAAUUUUAGGAAGUGUGGAGAGAUCUGGGUGAUGAAGGGUGAGAUAAACAAGGUGGACCUUAUCAAGAAUCUGUCGGGCAUUUUCUGCAAGAACAAGAACUGGUCCUGGCAAGUCAGACAGCUAGCAGAUAAGAAGUUUCUGGUCAGAUUUCCUCCCUAGAAGGAUGUUGAGGAUUUAAUCAAAUUUCCACCUAUUGAGCUGCCCAUUGAUGGAGUUUCAGUGUCUGUGGAGAGAUGGACUGGCGCAAUCGACCCCUUCAAUGAACUGACUGAAGCCUGGGUGAUUGUUGAGGGUCUGUCGUCCAAGUGGUGCACGUGGAAAGUCCUGUCCCGAAUCGCUUCUUGCUUCUGGAUCCUUGUAGACGUUGACUGGAACGGUCUGAUGAAAAGUUUCUAUGAGAGAGUGAGGAUCAAGAUCGCCUGUAGAAACCCAGCAAAAAUUCCCUUCGAACGAAUUAUGGAAAUGAGGAAGAAGUUGUACGUUCUGUCGUUUACAGUUGAAGGUGUUGAG